rnacentral:rRNA from 1 species
AUACAGAGGUGGCAAGCGUUGUUCGGAUUUAUUGGGUGUAAAGGGCAAGUAGGCGGCUUAACAAGUCUGUUGUGAAAUCCCAGGGCUCAACCCUGGAACUGCAAUGGAAACUGUUAGGCUCGAGCAUCAAAGAGGUAAGGGGAAUUCUUGGUGUAAGAGUGAAAUCUGUAGAUAUCAAGAGGAAUACCGAUGGCGAAGGCACCUUACUGGUUGAUUGCUGACGUUGAAUUGCGAAAGCUAGGGGAGCAAACAGGAUUAGAUACCCCGGUAGUCC